GUUGGGAGCUAACACUGAGCGAAAUCCAGAUGAAUAUGAAUAAUGUAGCUAACUAUUGUCACAAAUAUGUUGUCCACAGGUAACCUGUUUUCCAUCCAGAUGGUUAGAAGAGUCUUUGAGGAUUCUGAAAAUACCCUCAGUACAGUGGUCGCUGCAGCAGGCGUUAACAUGGAGAGAGGUGUGGAGGCACAUGGGGAAGAGAACGUGGAUCAGAGGGAGGUGAACGAGGGGAGAUAAAUAGGUGGAAAGACACAUGAAGGAGAGACAGAAGGUGAGGUGGACAAAUGACAUUUUUAUUUUCACCUCAGAGAGGGAGAGAAUGAACAGCUGGCUCCUCAGACACACACACACACACACACAC